rnacentral:rRNA from 1 species
GACGAACGCUGGCGGCGUGCUUAACACAUGCAAGUCGAGCGGUAAGGCCCUUUCGGGGGUACACGAGCGGCGAACGGGUGAGUAACACGUGGGUGACCUGCCCUCAGCUCUGGGAUAAGCCUGGGAAACCGGGUCUAAUACCGGAUAUGACUCCAUGACGCAUGUUGUGGGGUGGAAAGCCUUGUGCGGCUGAGGAUGGGCCCGCGGCCUAUCAGCUUGUUGGUGGGGUGAUGGCCUACCAAGGCGACGACGGGUAGCCGGCCUGAGAGGGCGACCGGCCACACUGGGACUGAGACACGGCCCAGACUCCUACGGGAGCAGCAGUGGGGAAUCUUGCGCAAUGGGC